CGCUGGUUAUUAAUACACACUGUAGGGUCCAACACCUCCUCCGUUCUCCCUCUCUCUCUCUCUCUCACCUAUUGUCACGUUUCUGUUGAUCAGUGGAAAAUACUUUUAACUGAAGUCAGUUCUUCUCUCCAUCUGUCAGACCAGAGCAACCAUGUCAGACAAUGAAGAGGUUGAAGAGUUUGAGGAGCAGAAUGGUACGUUCUGUGUGUGUGUGUGUGUUUGCAUGUCUUUGUGUGUGUUUGUGUGUGUGUGUGUCUUUCUGUGUGUGUGUGUCUGUGUCAAAUCAAAUCAAAUCAUAUUGUAUUGGUCACAUACACAUGGUUAGCAGAUGUUAUUGGGAGUGUAGCGAAAAUGCUUGUGCUUUUAGUUCCGACACUGCAGUAAUAACCAACAAGUAAUCUAACAAUUCCACAGGAGCUACCUAAUACAUACAAUCUAAGUAAAGGGAUGGAAAAAUAUAUGCACAUAUAAAUAUAUGGAUGGGCCAUGACUGACCGGCAUAGACGAGAUGCAAUAGAUGGGAUAAAAUACAGUAUAUACAUCUGAGAUGAGUAAUGCAAAUAUGUAAACAGCAUUAUUAAAGUGGCAUUGAUAAAGUGACGAGUGAUCCAUUUGUUAGAGUGGCCAAUGAUUUGACUCUGUAUGUAGGCAGCAGCCUCUCUGUCUUAGUGAUUGAUGGCUGUUUAACAGUCUGAUGGCCUUGAGAUAGAAGCUGUUUUUCAGUCUCUCGGUCUCAGCUUUGAUGCACCUGUACUGACCUCGCCUUCUGGAUGGUGGUGAGGUGAACAGGCAGUGGCUCGGGUGGAUGUUGUCCUUGAUGGUCUUUUUGGCGUCCCUGUGACAUCGGGUGCUGUAGGUGUCCUGUAGGGAAGAUAGUUUGCCCCCGGUGAUGCGUUGUGCAGACUGCACUACCCUCUGGAGAGCCCUGCGGUUGUGGGCAGUGAAGUUACCGUACCAGGCGGUGAUACAGCCGACAGGACGCUCUAAAAUGUGAAGUUUGUGAGGGUUUUAGGUGACAAGCCACAUUUCUUCAUCCUUCUGAGGAUGAGGAGACGCUGCUGCGCCUUCUUCACCACACUGUAUGAGUGGACCAUUUCAGUUUGUCCGUGAUGUGUAUGCCGAGGAACUUGAAACUUUCCACCCUCUCCACUACUGUCCCUUCGAUGUGGACUGGGAGGGGGGGGGGUCACCCAGUGCUGUUUCUACAAUUAUCUCCUUUGUUUUGUUGACGUUCAGUGAGAGGUUGUUUUCCUGACACCACACUCCGAGUGCCCUCACCUCCUCCCUGUAGGCCGUCUAGUCGUUGUUGGUGAUCAAGCCUAUUACUGUUGUGUUGUCUGCAAACUUGAUGAUCGAGUUGGAAGCGUGCAUGGCCACGCAGCUAUGGGUGAACAGGGAGUACAGGAGGGGGCUGAGCAUGCAUCCGUAUGGGGCCCCAGUGUUGAGGAUCAGUGAAGUGGAGAUAUUGUUUCCUACCUUCACCACCUGGGGGCGGCCCGUCAGGAAGUCCAGGACCCAAUCGCACAGGGAGGGGUUGAGACCAAGGGCCUCCAGCUUAAUGAUGAGCUUGGAGGGUACUAUGGUGUUGAAUGCUGAGCUGUAGUCAAUGAACAGCAUUCUUACAUAGGUAUUCCUCUUGUCCAGAUGGGAUAGGGCAGUGUGCAGUGUGAUGAUGAUUGCAUUGUCUGUAGACCUGUUUGACCUGUUGGGGCGGUAUACAAAUUGGAGUGGGUCUAGACCAGGGGUGGGCAACUCCAGUCCUCGAGGGCCUGAUUGGUGUCACACUUUUUCUCCAUCCCAAGCAAACACAGCUGAUUAAUCAAAUUGUAUUCUAAACUGAAGAUCAUGAUUAGGUGAUUAUUGGAGCCAGGUGUGUUAGCUGGGGCUGGGCAAAACUGUGACACCAAUCAGGCCCUCGAGGACUGGAAUUGCCCACCCCUGGUCUAGGGUGACAGGAAAGGUGGAGGUGAUAUGAUCCUUGACUAGUCUCUCAAAGCACUUCAUGAUGUCAAAGUGAGUGCAACGGGGCAAUAGUCAUUCAGUUCUGUUACCUUUUCCUUCUUGGGUACAGGAACAAUGGUGUCCAUCUUGAAGCAUGUGGGGACAGCAGACUGGGAUAGGGAGAGAUUGAAUAUGCCCAUAAACACCCCAGCCAGCUGGUCUGCGCAAGCAAUAUUAUUAUCUGAGGCUACCCGGAACGCGUCCCAGUCCGCGUGAUCAAAACAAUCUGAAGCGUGGAUUCCGAUUGGUCAGACCAGCGUUGAAUGAUCUUAGUACAUUCUGUUUGAGGUCCUGCCUAUAGGAGGGGAGAAGCAAAAUGGAGUCGUGGUCGGAUUUGCCGAAUAGAGGGCAGGGGAGGGCCUUGUAUGCAUCGCAGAAGUUUGAGUAGCAGGGAUCCAGUGCUUUGCUAGCCCGUGUACCACAAUCGAUAUGCUGAUAGAAUUUAGGUAGGCUGUAUCUCAAAUUUGCUUUUUUUAAAUCCCCAGCUAAAAUACAUGUAGUCUCCGGGUAUAUGGUUUCCAGUUUGACUAGAGUCCAGUGGAGUUCCUUAGGGGCCGUCGCGGUAUCUGCUUGGGGGGGGUAUACACGGCUGUGACAAUAACCAACGAAAAUUCUCUUGGGUGAUAAUACGGACGGCAUUUGAUUGUGAGGAAUUCUAGGUCCGGUGAACAGAAGGACUUGAGUUCCUGUAUGUUGUUACAAUUACACCAUGAGUCGUUAAUCAUGAAACAUACACCCCUGCCAUUCUUCUUCCCUGAAAGAUGUUUAUUCCUGUCAGAGCAACGCACAAAGAAUCUGGUGGCUGUACCGACUCUGACAGCCUGUCCCCAGAGAGCCAUGUUUCCAGAGUAUGUUACAAUCCCGAAUGUCUCUCUGGAAAGAAACCCUUGCACUAAUUUCGUCUACCUUGUUAUCUAGAGACUGGACAUUAGCGAGUAAUACACUGGGAAGCGGUGGGUGGUGUGCGCGCCUCCGAAGUCUGCCCAGAAGGCUGCUCCAUUUACCUGGUUGUUUUGGGUCAGCCUCUGAAAACAGU